UGUUCCUAUUGGCUGUAGUUUCAUAAUAAAGGCAUGAUUUCAGUCUGUGGAGGAAGAUAAUGGAAGAAACUUCUUUCCAAUCAUCCAGCUUAACAGAAGUGGUAGGAAAUGACUUUUAUGCUAAGAGAAUUAAGAUGUCACUCAAUGAAGAAAAGAAAGAUGAGGAACCUACUACAAAACAUAUACUCAACAAAUACUUGGAAAAUGAACAAAGAAGUGAGUUAUUAAAAUGUUGGGAAAUGUCA